rnacentral:snRNA from 1 species
GUACUAACCUGGCCGGGGAGGUAGCAGGACCAGGGAGGGGCCCUUCCCAGGGCGAGGCUCGUCGGCUGCACUCCGACGUGCUGAGCCCUGCGAGUUCCCCAGGUGUGGGAAAGUCGGCUGCUUCCUUCGAGGUAGUGGGUGUCUGCGUUCGUGCUCUCCCUGA